rnacentral:rRNA from 1 species
UGGGGAAUAUUGCACAAUGGGCGCAAGCCUGAUGCAGCCAUGCCGCGUGUAUGAAGAAGGCCUUCGGGUUGUAAAGUACUUUCAGCGAGGAGGAAGGCGUUGUGGUUAAUAACCGCAGCGAUUGACGUUACUCGCAGAAGAAGCACCGGCUAACUCCGUGCCAGCAGCCGCGGUAAUACGGAGGGUGCAAGCGUUAAUCGGAAUUACUGGGUGUAAAGCGCACGCAGGCGGACUGUCAAGUCGGAUGUGAAAUCCCCGGGCUCAACCUGGGAACUGCAUCCGAAACUGGCAGGCUAGAGUCUUGUAGAGGGGGGUAGAAUUCCAGGUGUAGCGGUGAAAUGCGUAGAGAUCUGGAGGAAUACCGGUGGCGAAGGCGGCCCCCUGGACAAAGACUGACGCUCAGGUGCGAAAGCGUGGGGAGCAAACA